UUUGCUUAGAUUCUUCGGAUGAAGAGGAUUGUGACUGAGCGGCGGACGGGUGAGUAACGCGUGGGUAACCUGCCUCAUACAGGGGGAUAACAGUUAGAAAUGACUGCUAAUACCGCAUAAGACCACAGCACCGCAUGGUGCGGGGGUAAAAACUCCGGUGGUAUGAGAUGGACCCGCGUCUGAUUAGCUGGUUGGUAAGGUAACGGCUUACCAAGGCGACGAUCAGUAGCCGACCUGAGAGGGUGACCGGCCACAUUGGGACUGAGACACGGCCCAAACUCCUACGGGAGGCAGCAGUGGGGAAUAUUGCACAAUGGGGGAAACCCUGAUGCAGCGACGCCGCGUGAGCGAAGAAGUAUUUCGGUAUGUAAAGCUCUAUCAGCAGGGAA
rnacentral:rRNA from 1 species